GACGAACGCUGGCGGCGUGCCUAAUACAUGCAAGUCGAGCGCAGGAAACUGACGGAACUCUUCGGAGGGAAGGCAGUGGAAUGAGCGGCGGACGGGUGAGUAACACGUAAGGAACCUGCCUCAAGGAUUGGGAUAACUCCGAGAAAUCGGAGCUAAUACCGGAUAGUUCAACGGACCGCAUGUCCGCUGAUGAAAGGCGCUCCGGCGUCACCUUGAGAUGGCCUUGCGGUGCAUUAGCUAGUUGGUGGGGUAAUGGCCCACCAAGGCGACGAUGCAUAGCCGACCUGAGAGGGUGAUCGGCCACACUGGGACUGAGACACGGCCCAGACUCCUACGGGAGGCAGCAGUAGGGAAUCUUCCACAAUGGACGAAAGUCUGAUGGAGCAACGCCGCGUGAGUGAUGAAGGUUUUCGGAUCGUAAAACUCUGUUGUAAGGGAAGAACACGUACGAGAGGGAAUGCUCGUACCUUGACGGUACCUUACGAGAAAGCCACGGCUAACUACGUGCCAGCAGCCGCCGUAACAC
rnacentral:rRNA from 1 species